rnacentral:rRNA from 1 species
GGAGCACGUGAAAUUCCGUCGGAAUCUGGGAGGACCAUCUCCUAAGGCUAAAUACUCUCUAGUGACCGAUAGUGAACCAGUACCGUGAGGGAAAGGUGAAAAGCACCCCGGAAGGGGAGUGAAAUAGAACCUGAAACCGUGUGCUUACAAGUAGUCAGAGCCCGUUAAUGGGUGAUGGCGUGCCUUUUGUAGAAUGAACCGGCGAGUUACGAUUUGAUGCAAGGUUAAGCAGUAAAUGUGGAGCCGUAGCGAAAGCGAGUCUGAAUAGGGCGUUUAGUAUUUGGUCGUAGACCCGAAACCAGGUGAUCUACCCUUGGUCAGGUUGAAGUUCAGGUAACACUGAAUGGAGGACCGAACCGACUUACGUUGAAAAGUGAGCGGAUGAACUGAGGGUAGCGGAGAAAUUCCAAUCGAACCUGGAGAUAGCUGGUUCUCUCCGAAAUAGCUUUAGGGCUAGCCUCAAGUGAUGAUUAUUGGAGGUAGAGCACUGUUUGGACGAGGGGCCCCUCUCGGGUUACCGAAUUCAGACAAACUCCGAAUGCCAAUUAAUUUAACUUGGGAGUCAGAACAUGGGUGAUAAGGUCCGUGUUCGAAAGGGAAACAGCCCAGACCACCAGCUAAGGUCCCAAAAUAUAUGUUAAGUGGAAAAGGAUGUGGCGUUGCCCAGACAACUAGGAUGUUGGCUUAGAAGCAGCCAUCAUUUAAAGAGUGCGUAAUAGCUCACUAGUCGAGUGACACUGCGCCGAAAAUGUACCGGGGCUAAACAUAUUACCGAAGCUGUGGAUUGUCCUUUGGACAAUGGUAGGAGAGCGUUCUAAGGGCGUUGAAGCAUGAUCGUAAGGACAUGUGGAGCGCUUAGAAGUGAGAAUGCCGGUGUGAGUAGCGAAAGACGGGUGAGAAUCCCGUCCACCGAUUGACUAAGGUUUCCAGAGGAAGGCUCGUCCGCUCUGGGUUAGUCGGGUCCUAAGCUGAGGCCGACAGGCGUAGGCGAUGGAUAACAGGUUGAUAUUCCUGUACCACCUAUAAUCGUUUUAAUCGAUGGGGGGACGCAGUAGGAUAGGCGAAGCGUGCGAUUGGAUUGCACGUCUAAGCAGUAAGGCUGAGUAUUAGGCAAAUCCGGUACUCGUUAAGGCUGAGCUGUGAUGGGGAGAAGACAUUGAGUCUUCGAGUCGUUGAUUUCACACUGCCGAGAAAAGCCUCUAGAUAGAAAAUAGGUGCCCGUACCGCAAACCGACACAGGUAGUCAAGAUGAGAAUUCUAAGGUGAGCGAGCGAACUCUCGUUAAGGAACUCGGCAAAAUGACCCCGUA